UACGGGGGGGGCAAGCGUUGUUCGGAAUUACUGGGCGUAAAGCGCACGUAGGCGGUUUUGUAAGUCAGGGGUGAAAUCCCGGGGCUCAACCUCGGAACUGCCUUUGAUACUGCAAAUCUCGAGUCCGGAAGAGGUGAGUGGAAUUCCUAGUGUAGAGGUGAAAUUCGUAGAUAUUAGGAAGAACACCAGUGGCGAAGGCGGCUCACUGGUCCGGUACUGACGCUGAGGUGCGAAAGCGUGGGGAGCAAACAGG
rnacentral:rRNA from 1 species